GAUGAACGCUGGCGGCGUGCCUAAUACAUGCAAGUCGAGCGAACGGACGAGAAGCUUGCUUCUCUGAUGUUAGCGGCGGACGGGUGAGUAACACGUGGAUAACCUACCUAUAAGACUGGGAUAACUUCGGGAAACCGGAGCUAAUACCGGAUGAUAUUUUGAACCGCAUGGUUCAAAAGUGAAAGACGGUCUUGCUGUCACUUAUAGAUGGAUCCGCGCUGCAUUAGCUAGUUGGUAAGGUAACGGCUUACCAAGGCAACGAUGCAUAGCCGACCUGAGAGGGUGAUCGGCCACACUGGAACUGGGACACGGUCCAGGCUCCUGCGGGAGGCAGCAGUAGGGAAUCUUCCGCAAUGGGCGAAAGCCUGACGGAGCAACGCCGCGUGAGUGAUGAAGGUCUUCGGAUCGUAAAACUCUGUUAUUAGGGAAGAACAUAUGUGUAAGUAACUGUGCACAUCUUGACGGUACCUAAUCAGAAAGCCACGGCUAACUACGUG
rnacentral:rRNA from 1 species